GCAUAUCAAUAAGCGGAGGAAAAGAAACCAACAGGGAUUGCCUCAGUAACGGCGAGUGAAGCGGCAAGAGCUCAAAUUUGAAAGCUGGCCCCCUCGGGGUCCGCAUUGUAAUUUGCAGAGGAUGCUUCGGGAGUGGCCCCCAUCUAAGUGCUCUGGAACGGGCCGUCAUAGAGGGUGAGAAUCCCGUAUGGGAUGGGGUGUCCGCGACCAUGUGAAGCUCCUUCGACGAGUCGAGUUGUUUGGGAAUGCAGCUCUAAAUGGGUGGUAAAUUUCAUCUAAAGCUAAAUAUUGGCCGGAGACCGAUAGCGCACAAGUAGAGUGAUCGAAAGAUGAAAAGCACUUUGAAAAGAGAGUUAAAAAGCACGUGAAAUUGUUGAAAGGGAAGCGCUUGCGACCAGACUCGCCUACGGGGUUCAGCCGGUAUUCGUACCGGUGUACUUCCCCGUGGGCGGGCCAGCGUCGGUUUGGGCGGCCGGUCAAAGGCCCUCGGAAUGUAACGCCUCUCGGGGCGUCUUAUAGCCGAGGGUGCCAUGCGGCCAGCCCGGACCGAGGAACGCGCUUCGGCACGGACGCUGGCAUAAUGGUCGUAAGCGACCCGUCUUGAAACACGGACCAAGGAGUCUAACAUCUACGCGAGUGUUCGGGUGUCAAACCCGUGCGCGCAGUGAAAGCGAACGGAGGUGGGAACCCUCACGGGUGCACCAUCGACCGAUCCUGAUGUCUUCGGAUGGAUUUGAGUAAGAGCGUAGCUGUUGGGACCCGAAAGAUGGUGAACUAUGCCUGAAUAGGGCGAAGCCAGAGGAAACUCUGGUGGAGGCUCGCAGCGGUUCUGACGUGCAAAUCGAUCGUCAAAUUUGGGUAUAGGGGCGAAAGACUAAUCGAACCAUCUAGUAGCUGGUCUGC
rnacentral:rRNA from 1 species